GUAAACCAUUGGACUUUAAUCACCAGCCUAAAACAAAUUUAAUUUUCCAUCUUUAAAGGGGCGACCUGGUCGGAGAGGAGUUGUAGGUAGUAAGAAUCGCCAGGGACGAUUUGGGGUCACUGGACCAAUGGGCCCCCCUGGAUAUGAAGGCACGCAGGGAUCUAAUGGAGCUUUUGGUUCUCCUGGAAUAAGAGGAGAGAAAGGAUUAACAGGGGUUCAGGGCCCAAUGGGAAGAGAAGGUGACAUCGGUGCCAAAGGGAAUGAAGGAUUCAAUGGGCGAAAGGGUGAAGCUGGAUCCCUGGGUCCUAAAGGAGAAUCUGGAAGAGCUGGACCUCGUGGGCUGCAGG